ACACAUCAGGUAUGUGUGUGUGUUCGACGCCCAGAGCCAGAGAAGAAGGGGAAACCCUUCUAACCACAAAAAUCCAGCCAAUUGAAGCCCUAAUCGUGACUGAAUCUCAUGCAUGUCAAUGAUUUCUUGAUCAUCUAGGCCUAUUAAAGCUUAAGGAUGAAUAACAUAUCUACGGACUCAAGCACGGAGGCUAACGGGUCGAAAGUAAACAUGGAACCUAUGCUUGAACUUGGUCGCUCAAGGUACCACACGGAUUCCUUCUACUACUAACGAAGCUGAGCGGACGUAGAUCGAGUCAAGAGCAAGGGUUGUACGGAAAGAACGGUCAAAUAGUUCGAAAUAUGUAUUGCUUUGAAGCGUCAAUACAAUGUGAAUAUUGUAAAUCCCUUCCAGUAAAUGUUUAA